rnacentral:rRNA from 1 species
UACGGAGGGGACUAGCGUUGUUCGGAAUUACUGGGCGUAAAGCGCACGUAGGCGGAUUUGUAAGUCAGGGGUGAAAUCCCGGGGCUCAACCUCGGAACUGCCUUUGAUACUGCAAAUCUCGAGUCCGGAAGAGGUGAGUGGAAUUCCUAGUGUAGAGGUGAAAUUCGUAGAUAUUAGGAAGAAAACCAGUGGCGAAGGCGGCUCACUGGUCCGGUACUGACGCUGAGGCGCGAAAGCGUGGGGAGCAAACAGG